UCCGGUUUGUCACCGGCAGUCUCCUUAGAGUUCCCGGCCGAACCGCUGGCAACUAAGGACAAGGGUUGCGCUCGUUGCGGGACUUAACCCAACAUCUCACGACACGAGCUGACGACAGCCAUGCACCACCUGCACACAGGCCACAAGGGAAUACCUAUCUCUAGGCACGUCCUGUGCAUGUCAAACCCAGGUAAGGUUCUUCGCGUUGCAUCGAAUUAAACCACAUGCUCCACCGCUUGUGCGGGCCCCCGUCAAUUCCUUUGAGUUUCAGCCUUGCGGCCGUACUCCCCAGGCGGGGCACUUCAUGCGUUAGCGCCGGUACCCCGGGGGUCGCUCCCCAGAGCACCUAGCAUCCAUCGUUUACAGCGUGGACUAC
rnacentral:misc_RNA from 1 species